rnacentral:rRNA from 1 species
UACGUAGGGGGCAAGCGUUGUCCGGAUUCAUUGGGCGUAAAGAGCUCGUAGGCGGCUGCUCAAGUCGAAUGUGAAAACUCGAGGCUCAACCUCGAGCCUGCAUUCGAUACUGGGCGGCUAGAGUCUGGUAGGGGGAUCUGGAAUUCCUGGUGUAGCGGUGGAAUGCGCAGAUAUCUGGAGGAACACCGGUGGCGAAGGCGGCGUUCUGGACUGCAACUGACACUGAGAAACGAAAGCCAGGGUAGCAAACGGG